UUAUUAUUAUUAUUAUUAUUAUUAUUAUUAUUAUUCAUGGCCAUAUGGCGUAGUUGUUAGGAGUGUGGGCUACAAACCCCAAGGAUCUGAGUUCAAUCCCAGGCAGUGACCUGAAUAAUAAUAAUAAUAUUAAUAAUAAUAAUAAU